UAUAUUUUCGAGCUCAAGCCAUGGUGCCACACCAUGAUUUCUGAGGCCAAAAACAAAACAAGCAUAGUUAUAUAGGUAAGUUAGUAAAGUCGUGGGCACGGACAGGGGGAGGCCAUCCCUUGGGGCCUCAUCCCCCAGCCUUCACGCUCCUUGAUAAAAGAAUGGCGAUUGGCACUCUUUCCACGUUACCACCCAAUGGCACCAAACAUUCUUCACUGUUUCAACAAUGACACACCGGUUGUCACGACUUCCAUAAAUACUCUUAUAACCUCUAUCUUAUUUAAAAACCCUCUGAGACCCGACCCCUUUUAGCUAAACCUACACUCCUCCAUUAAUUCCCACAUGGCUGCUAGUCCUCCUCCUCUGUUAUCAAUGGCGCCUGACGAUCCUCAGCAAGACGAUCACCUUCUCUUCUCUCGUGACAGACACUUCGCUUUGCAUGAAAUCCUAACCUGCAAGAAUGUUAUCCGUCCGAGCAAGUUUUGCCAUAUAAAUUCUCCGGUGUCCCGUCCAAGGGCCAGUCGGGAAAGAGUUCAAAGCUGAUGAUGAAUCAACCUGUGUAGCCAACUGUACAGUGUGUCAGACCUUUGGAUCUGUAUGGAACCUUGGGCUUGAGUUUGGGUUCAUGGAGCAGGCGACCAGGGCCUGCCUUCUGCCACAUCAGGGUGAAGAUAGAAUCCGCCAUGAGGUGGCAGCUACAGAAUGGUGGAGAUAGGGAAUAGAGAUUCUAUGCAUAAAAAAUAUGCCAAACGGCACCACGAGAUUUGGUUGCAUUGGUAGAUAUUUUUCAUGUAUUGGACACUAGUUAAUAAUUCAAGAAGGUACUUCGAGUUUUCCUUGUAUUAA